rnacentral:rRNA from 1 species
CUCUGCGCAAGGGAUCUUUUGGUUCGCUAGACGAAGAAGCGCGCAGCGGAAUGCGAAAUGUGCAGGAGUCGCAGCGAAGAUAGCACAUGCCUGAAAUCACGAGAGUGUGAGACUACCCCUUUGAAUUAAGCAUAUGAGUAAAGGGAGGAAAAGAAACUAACAAGGAUUCCUGAGUAGCGGCGAGCGAAGAAGGAACAGCCCCGAGUGUAAUCACCAAUAUGUGAGAUGUCAUUAAUCUAUAGAACGAUGUUGAAACUUCGGCCUGA